AGCAUCCCUCCCCUGCGCAUCCCAGAGCGCCCCUGCCCUGCGCACCCCAGAGAAUCCCUUCCCUGCGCACCCCAGAGCAUCCCUCGCUUGUGUACCCCAGAGUAUCCCUGCUCUGCGUACUCCAGAGCAUACUUCCCUGUGUACCCCAGUGCGUCCCAGUGCAUCCCACCACAGCGCACCCCUGUACAUGCCACCGCGUCCCAGAAAAUCUUGCCGCGCUACACCCCAAACUCCCGCCUGCCUCAGGUGCCUUCGCCGGCUACUGGAACGUGACUUUGAUCCCCGAGGGCGCCAGGCACAUCCGCGUAACACAGCGCAGCCACAACCACCUGGCGCUGGUGACCCGCGACGGGCACUACGUGCUCAACGGUGAUGGUGUGCUCAGCCUGCCUGGCACCUAUGAGGCCGCGGGCACCCGCGUGGUUUACACCCGCAGUGCGGGUCCGGAGGAGACUCUGCAGGCUACCGGGCCCACCUCCCAGGAGCUGUUGUUGCAGGUGGGCCGAUGUGGACAGUU
rnacentral:lncRNA from 1 species